rnacentral:other from 1 species
AAACUUCUGCCUUGACCGAUAAAGUGUGGUUUUAUAAUCCAACACUUUUAUUUAGGGAUUCAGUCUCCUUUGACGGAUUGCAGACCUCCCGCCGCAUUAGAUGUGCGGAACUACGGACGCAGGGAGCGUGAAAUCAAAGGGCUGUUGCCCACCUGCCUUUGUGCGGGUUUUAUUCGCCACAUGGCGGCAAGGCGGUGUUUUC